AUAAGCAGACUGAAAAAUGUGGAGAGACUGGCCUAGCCUCCCAGCCUACAUCUUUCUCCCAUGCUCGAUACUUCCUGCUCUAGAACAUUGGACUCCCAAGUUCUUCAGUUUUGGAAUUCGGACAGGAUCUCCUUGCUACUCAGCCUGCGGAUGGUCUAUCGUGGGACAUUGUAAUCGUCACCUGUGACCUUUUCACUUCUGAGCCUCCAGCACAGAGCACAGUGAGGAGCACACAGUAGAAACUAAUCCUCUUUAGAUGUGAUCCAAGACAGAUCUUUCUUCUGCUGAAUCCUGCUCUAUGGCAAACAUAAAGUUGAAAGGUAUACUGUUGUGAGAAUUAUAAAUAUGAAACAUUGGUGUAGUGCCUAGCAUAUAGUAGUCACUCAGUGAUAGCUGCCAUUACUAUUAUUACUACUGCUAUUAUUAGGAUAAAAUAGUGUUUCCUCAGCUGGCUUGGAGGAAAGCAAUUGGGUGAUCUGAGAAGGGUAACAAAUUUUCAAUCCUUGUGCAGUCUGCCACUUUCUAUCCCUGAACAAGCAACUGAUUUCUUUUCUGUUUUUUUGAGAUGGGUUCUUACUCUGUCACCAGGCUGGAGU